GGGGAAUUUUGGACAAUGGGCGCAAGCCUGAUCCAGCCAUGCCGCGUGUCUGAAGAAGGCCUUCGGGUAGUAAAGGACUUUUGUCAGGGAAGAAAAGGACAGGGUUAAUACCUCUGUUUGAUGACGGUACCUGAAGAAUAAGCACCGGCUAACUACGUGCCAGCAGCCGCGGUAAUACGUAGGGUGCGAGCGUUAAUCGGAAUUACUGGGCGUAAAGCGAGUGCAGACGGUUACUUAAGCAGGAUGUGAAAUCCCCGGGCUCAACCUGGGAACUGCGUUCUGAACUGGGUGACUAGAGUGUGUCAGAGGGAGGUAGAAUUCCACGUGUAGCAGUGAAAUGCGUAGAGAUGUGGAGGAAUACCGAUGGCGAAGGCAGCCUCCUGGGAUAACACUGACGUUCAUGCUCGAAAGCGUGGGUAGCAAACAGGAUUAGAUACCCUGGUAGUCCACGCCCUAAACGAUGUCAAUUAGCUGUUGGGCAACUUGAUUGCUUAGUAGCGUAGCUAACGCGUGAAAUUGACCGCCUGGGGAGUACGGUCGCAAGAUUA
rnacentral:rRNA from 1 species